rnacentral:rRNA from 1 species
ACGGAAGGCAGCAGUGGGGGAUAUUGCACAAUGGGGGAAACCCUGAUGCAGCGACGCCGCGUGAGCGAAGAAGUAUUUCGGUAUGUAAAGCUCUAUCAGCAGGGAAGAAAAUGACGGUACCUGACUAAGAAGCUCCGGCUAAAUACGUGCCAGCAGCCGCGGUAAUACGUAUGGAGCAAGCGUUAUCCGGAUUUACUGGGUGUAAAGGGAGUGUAGACGGUUUGCCAAGUCUGAUGUGAAAGGUGGGGGCUCAACCCCCAAACUGCAUUGGAAACUGGUAGACUAGAGUGUCGGAGAGGUAAGUGGAAUUCCUAGUGUAGCGGUGAAAUGCGUAGAUAUUAGGAGGAACACCAGUGGCGAAGGCGGCUUACUGGACGAUAACUGACGUUGAGGCUCGAAAGCGUGGGGAGCAAACAGGAUUAGAUACCCUGGUA